rnacentral:tRNA from 4 species
GGAGAGGUGGCAGAGUGGUUGAUCGCGCACGCUUGGAAAGCGUGUAUACCGCAAGGUAUCGUGGGUUCAAAUCCCACCCUCUCCG